rnacentral:rRNA from 1 species
GAUGAACGCUGGCGGCGUGCCUAAUACAUGCAAGUCGAGCGAACGGACGAGAAGCUUGCUUCUCUGAUGUUAGCGGCGGACGGGUGAGUAACACGUGGAUAACCUACCUAUAAGACUGGGAUAACUUCGGGAAACCGGAGCUAAUACCGGAUGAUAUUUUGAACCGCAUGGUUCAAAAGUGAAAGACGGUCUUGCUGUCACUUAUAGAUGGAUCCGCGCUGCAUUAGCUAGUUGGUAAGGUAACGGCUUACCAAGGCAACGAUGCAUAGCCGACCUGAGAGGGUGAUCGGCCACCCUGGAACUGAAACACGGUCCAGACUCCUACGGGAGGCAGCAGUAGGGAAUCUUCCGCAAUGGGCGAAAGCCUGACGGAGCAACGCCGCGUGAGUGAUGAAGGUCUUCGGAUCGUAAAACUCUGUUAUUAGGGAAGAACAUAUGUGUAAGUAACUGUGCACAUCUUGACGGUACCUAAUCAGAAAGCCACGGCUAACUACGUG